CAGCCGCCACCGCCGUUAAUAUUUGUCGACGCAGGGCUCUGUUGAGACGGUCAAAGUAUCUUUUGCGGUUGUUAAAAACGUUUGUAACAAGUUUACUUUUUCACAAUUUGUAAACAAACUAAAAAUAAUGUUAUUCUAUUCGUUUUUCAAAUCUUUGGUUGGCAAAGAUGUAGUUGUCGAAUUAAAAAAUGAUUUAAGUAUUUGUGGAACUUUACAUAGUGUAGACCAAUAUUUGAACAUAAAAUUAACUGAUAUUAGUGUAACCGAUCCGGAAAAAUAUCCGCACAUGUUGUCGGUAAAAAAUUGUUUUAUACGCGGUUCGGUUGUGCGUUACGUUCAGUUGCCGGGUGACGAAGUGGACACACAACUUUUGCAAGAUGCUGCGCGCAAAGAAGCGGUUGUUAGUUCACGAUGAAGCGGCCGGAAAAUAUAUCCAGCGGAAAUAUCAACAACUUCCAUUUUGGUGCCACCCUACUUUACAUAAUGCAUCAAGUUACCAAAUUUAUUCAACAACAACAAAUUUGUAUUAAACUGGUCAACUACAACACCAGGAUAAUUGUUUGGAGGUCUAUCAUCAAUUCAAAUUUUAAUUAUAUUUGUAAAUUACAUUAAUACUCAUAAAAUUAAGAUUUUUAUAUUUAAUAAUAUUUAAAAAAACAUU